rnacentral:rRNA from 1 species
AGUGAACGCUGGCGGUAGGCCUAACACAUGCAAGUCGGACGGCAGCACAGUAAGAGCUUGCUCUUACGGGUGGCGAGUGGCGGACGGGUGAGGAAUACAUCGGAAUCUACUUUUUCGUGGGGGAUAACGUAGGGAAACUUACGCUAAUACCGCAUACGACCUACGGGUGAAAGCAGGGGAUCUUCGGACCUUGCGCGAUUGAAUGAGCCGAUGUCGGAUUAGCUAGUUGGCGGGGUAAAGGCCCACCAAGGCGACGAUCCGUAGCUGGUCUGAGAGGAUGAUCAGCCACACUGGAACUGAGACACGGUCCAGACUCCUACGGGAGGCAGCAGUGGGGAAUAUUGGACAAUGGGCGCAAGCCUGAUCCAGCCAUACCGCGUGGGUGAAGAAGGCCUUCGGGUUGUAAAGCCCUUUUGUUGGGAAAGAAAAGCAGCAGGUUAAUACCCCGCUGUUCUGACGGUACCCAAAGAGUAAGCACCGGCUAACUUCGUG